AUGCACUUACUGAUUUACCUUUAAUGUUUACCAGCUUGAAAUUUUUUUUUGACAUUUUUGACAGUUCCCUCUCAUUUAAUAUAUUUCGGAUAAACUUGCUUUGUGCUGUCAUGCAUGAAUAAUAUUCCCCUCCGAGACUGACAACAAUGUAAAAAUAUAAUGUAAUUAUCUCUGCUUAUCAAGUGCAUCUUCUUGAUAGAAAGACCAAAAAUGUAGCUUAAUUAAAUUAACGGAGACCUUGAAAAACAUGAGAUCCGAUUGCGACACUGAAUCCAGAUCUGUGAUGAGGUGUGCGAUGUCUCCCACUUCACGCCUGAAAGACCCAUUCCUGCCUGGUGACUCGCUGGAUUCUGACAGGUGAUUCGCUGGAUUCUGACAGGUGACUCGCUGGAUUCUGACAGGUGAUUCGCUGGAUUCUGGCCGAUGACUCGCUGGAUUCUGACAGGUGAUUCGCUGGAUUCUGACAGGUGACUCGCUGGAUUCUGACAAGUGAUUCGCUGGAUUCUGACAGGUGACUCUGGAUUCUGACAGGUGAUUCGCUGGAUUCUGACAGGUGACUCUGGAUUCUGACAGGUGAUUCGCUGGAUUCUGACAGGUGACUCGCUGGAUUCUGACAGGUGAUUCGCUGGAUUCUGACAGGUGACUCGUUGGAUUCUGACAGGUGAUUCGCUGGAUUCUGACAGGUGCUGGUGUUUGUGUUGUUGUGAGUUAAACGUGUCUGUGUGUGUCAUAGCGCUGGGCGGCGGCGCUCCAGAUGUCCUUGCUGUGAUGUCGCUCAUUCGGCCACAUUUAGAACUGAACUCAGCGUUUUUUUACGAGACCUGUUUGUUCCAGCGCGAGUGGAAAUUAUCAUGUCAACCCCAGCGUCAUCAGCGUACUGCAGCUGGGUCAGUGGGUGUCUUUUACGCGACUGGUCAGUGUUAUAUUUUCCCCGUGACUAAUUAUCAGGAGUAUUUUUGCACUGAUUCCAAGGGUGCAACAGUCCUGCUAUCGUAAUGGUGUUAUCUGUAAUUACCGUUAAUUACGCACACACACACACACACGUAUAAUUAUAUUUAUUAAUAUAAUAAUAUUCACUCAGUGGCCUCGUUUUUCUUUAUUAGGCACGUCUGUCCAGCACUGGGUGGGACCGCUUUUCGCCUCCUGAAUUGCCUGAUUUCUUCACAGCAUGGAUUCAGCAAGGUGCUGGAAACAUUCCUCAGGGAUUUUGGUCCAUGCUGACUCAGCAGCAUCACACGGUUCCCGCAGAUUUUUCGGCCACAGGUGAAUGCUGCGACCCUCCCGCCCCGCCUCGUCCCGAAGGUGCGCUGUUGGGCUGAGAUCUGGGGGCUGCGCGGGCCACUGGAGUGAACCGAAAUCACUGUCAUGUUCGUGGAACCAGGUUGAAAUGAUUCAUGCUUUGUGACAUGGCGCAUUAACCUGCAGGAAGUAUCCAUUUGAAAAAGGGUAGAUUUUGGUCAUAAAUGGGAUGCACAUGGUCCUCAACAAUGCUUAGGUAUGCUGUGGCAUUCAAAUGAUGCUCUGUUGGUACUAAAGGUACCUAAUGUGUGCCAAAUAAUACUCCCAAGACCAUUACACCCCCACCAGCUGCCUGCACCAUUAACACAAGGCAGAUCCAUGGAUUCAUGCUGUUUACACCAAAUUCUGACCCUACCGUGUUCAUGUCACAGCAGAAAUCAAGAUUUGUCAUUUGUCCAGUCUAGUCAUCCAGAGUUUUGGUGGUGAUGUUCCCACUGUAGGCACACAGUGGCAUGCAAAGGUUUUGAAGUGAAAAUAACUUGACAAAAGCUCUGCAGGGUACAAAAUUAAACAUUUCUACACAUUUUAA